rnacentral:rRNA from 1 species
ACGAGAGGUCCAAGCGUUAGUCGGAAUCACUGGGCUUAAAGGGUGCGUAGGCGGGCUUGUAAGUGUCUUGUGAAAUCCCAUGGCUCAACCAUGGAACUGCAGGGCAUACUGCAAGCCUUGAGGAAUCUAGAGGCCGGCAGAACGAUAGGUGGAGCGGUGGAAUGCGUAGAUAUCUAUCGGAAUGCCAAAGGUGAAGACAGCCGGCUGGGGAUUUCCUGACGCUGAGGCACGAAAGCGUGGGGAUCAAACAGGA